AGCGAACGCUGGCGGCAGGCUUAACACAUGCAAGUCGAGCGGCCGUAGCAAUACGGCAGCGGCAGACGGGAGAGUAACACGUGGGAACGUACCCUUCAGUACGGAACAACCAAGGGAAACUUUGGCUAAUACCGUAUACGUCCGUAAGGAGAAAGAUUUAUCGCUGAAGGAUCGGCCCGCGUCUGAUUAGCUAGUUGGUGAGGUAACGGCUCACCAAGGCGACGAUCAGUAGCUGGUCUGAGAGGAUGAUCAGCCUCACUGGGACUGAGACACGGCCCAGACUCCUACGGGAGGCAGCAGUGGGGAAUAUUGGACAAUGGGCGCAAGCCUGAUCCAGCCAUGCCGCGUGGAUGAUGAAGGCCCUAGGGUUGUAAAGCUCUUUUGGCGGGGACGAUAAUGACGGUACCCGCAGAAUAAGCCCCGGCUAACUUCGUGCCAGCCGCCGCAGUAA
rnacentral:rRNA from 1 species